GCAUCGGCUGAAGCACCAUCAGUCAUCACGUAUGUGGCAAAUGUGCACAAAGAAUUUCAAAACGUCUGCUGGUGUUCAGCGUGGCUGACCAAUUUCCGAGCAACCAAUUUUUACUCGUUAUGCAAUUGGACACUCAUGGUGACCAUCACUGUAUCCCUCUUGCUGAAGCAGACGACAGACAUGAGCGAUCGAAAUUCUGUGUUCCCUAUGAAGUCUUGGGUCACGCCAAAGGACUAAG
rnacentral:lncRNA from 1 species